rnacentral:hammerhead_ribozyme from 1 species
GCACUGCUGAGGAGUCGCAUAAUAGGACGAAACAGCUGUCCAGUGC